rnacentral:tRNA from 1 species
GGCCCUUAGUUGGUCAAGAGUGGCCAUUUAUGUCUAUGAUUUAUAAAGCAACCUAUUGAUUUUCGGUUGUUCUGUUAGGAACUCAUAAUCGCUUGGUCGCUGGUUCAAGUCCAGCAGGGGCCACCA